rnacentral:rRNA from 1 species
CCUACGGGAGGCUGCAGUGAGGAAUCUUGGUCAAUGGACGAGAGUCUGAACCAGCCAAGUAGCGUGAAGGAUGACUGCCCUAUGGGUUGUAACCUUCUUUUAUACAGGAAUAAAACGAGGCACGUGUGCCUUUUUGCAUGUACUUUAUGAAUAAGGAUCGGCUAACUCCGUUCCAGCAGCCGCGGUAAUACGGAGGAUCCGAGCGUUAUCCGGAUUUAUUGGGUUUAAAGGGAGCGUAGAUGGGUUGUUAAGUCAGUUGUGAAAGUUUGCGGCUCAACCGUAAAAUUGCAAUUGAUACUGGCAGUCUUGAGUACAGUUGAGGUAGGCGGAAUUCGUGGUGUAGCGGUGAAAUGCUUAGAUAUCACGAAGAACCCCGAUUGCGAAGGCAGCUUACUAAACUGUGACUGACAUUGAUGCUCGAAAGUGUGGGUAUCAAACAGGAUUAGAUACCCCGGUAGUC